rnacentral:rRNA from 1 species
GCUUACAGCUACACCACCCUGAGAACGCCCGAACGCGUCUGAUCAACUCGUCUGAUCUCGGAAGCUAAGCAGGGCCGGGCCUGGUUAGUACGUGGGUGGGAGACCCCCCGGAAAUACCGGGUGCGGUAAAAU